AUUUCAGUACUUGCCUGGUCACUAUACACAGGUCUAUCAAGCCAGUCCUCAGGCAGCCAUGCUCCAGCCAUUAACUUUACCUAUAGAAGAUCAUCACACUUUAGUAGAUGAUAGAUCACAUCAUCAUUUUACAGCUUACACUUCAGUGCCUAAAUAAAACUGUUCUACACUAGUCUAGAUUCCCGUUUUAUUUCUUAUGAAUUCCAGAUUUUUCCAUUUAUUUUGGCUGCCUAUGAUCUUGUGCAGAAACGAUCAGUGACUUAUGUACUGACUGCAGUCAUGCAUGCACAUUAGUGAUUCAGGCUGUUUUCAUUGGAUGCAGUUUUUGUGCAUCAGUUGUGUGUUCAUGCUGCAAUAUUGAGUUAAAUAUGCAAGAAACUUUUUUGUUGCAGAUGUUUUUAAAUUAGAAAAAUCAGCAAAUCAGUCAUAAAUUUUCAACUGAAAAUAGUGUUCUUUAAGUAUGUGUCAUUAUUUACUGAGCAUUUUCAUUUUUUGCAUUCCGAGAUCUCUAAAGUUUUAUAACCCAAGAACUGGUUCAAGCACAGGGCUAUGUUUGUGUAGCAGAAUGUUUUUAAUGGUUUUUUAAAAUUGUGUUCCUAUUAAAAAUUAUAAGAUUCUCAUAGAACACUGCUAGUAAAAUGACAUUUUAUUUUCUAAAGUAUUUAGUCUCAUUUUUAUUUAUUUUCUUUACAUUAAAAUAAUUUGAUAAUAUUUCAAUCAACUUAAUAUUAGAUUAGUACAAGCAAUGCAUCAGGAACCAGUUUUGUUUAAAAAUAAUUUGUUUCUACAGAAACUGAUGUCCUAUCAUAAAAUAUUUUUUCACUAUACAAACAGUAAUAUUUGAACAUUCUUGAUUGAACCAAGUGCCUUUUAGAGUUUUAGAUUGAUUUUAAUGUAAAUAUUUUAUACAUCAUUUCUAUUGUUUUAUUGCCUUUUUAAAAGCUUUGCUUUUUUAGAUUUACCAGUGGGAAUAUUACAAACUAAAACGGAGUUAUGCUUUUAGUUGAGUGUAAAAAGCUGAACAGUUGUUAGAUGUACAUAUUAGACUUAGUAAAUGUAGUUACGUCCAAAUAUAUUGUUGUGGUCAUUUUUUGUCUGGUGAUAUUUUGUAUUUCCAUUGGCAAUAUACUGUUUCUGCAGCAUACCUCUAGCUGACUGCAGCAUAUCUCUAGAAACUGCAGCAUAUCUGUAGUCUCUAGCUGAAGACUAGAGUAUUUUCACUAUUCAUCUCUUGUUCAAUGAUUGCCUUAAUUAAAUUCAGUUAAAUAUUGUUUUAAAGAUUUGCCUAAAAUUCUUAGAUUUUUAUCAAUUAUUUCUAUUGUUUGCUGAUUUUAUAAGAAAAUAAGAAAAAAGUUGUGUCUGGCUUUGAAAACUUAAGUCAAGCAUAUCUUUAGUCUACAUUUGCACAUGCCACUGACCUGUAGGGACAGACCCUGCUCGAUGCCCAUUUGUUCUUUUUAGUAAUUUCUUUCGACUAAAAAGAAUUAACACUUGUCAUCAAUAUUGGGCAUUGGUUUAAAAACUGGCUUAAGAGAGAAAACAAAAACCACUCACAGUUUUAUUCAUGGCUUUAAUGUCAGACUUUGGCCAGGACAUUGCUGCCAUUAGCUAGAGGUUGUAAUUAUCAUUCUCAUCAUUUCUAAACACUGAACACCAGCUUAUUAUGGAAAAGUACAAUGGCAGAACCAAAACUUCCUAACAAAAGCACCUUAGUACAGUGGUGUAGGCAGGGGGGGGGGGGUGGUAGGGGUAUAAAACCGCACUUUUCAAUCUAUUAGGUAAUUAAAUUUAUUAGGUGGACCCCUCUGUAAAAAUAUCUUUAUUGUCAUU